AAAGCAGGUUGCAAUUACAGUACUUCAGAAUUCUGUGGAAGUGCUGCCAUUAUCCUGCUGACAAAAAAGCUGUGUUGGUCGUUGCUGAUUUUGCCUUUGUGCAGGUGAAGUCAUGACAGACUGACAGCAACAAUU